rnacentral:rRNA from 1 species
GACGAACGCUGGCGGCGUGCUUAACACAUGCAAGUCGAACGGUGAAAGAGGAGCUUGCUCCUCUGGAUCAGUGGCGAACGGGUGAGUAGCACGUGAGUGACCUGCCCUUGACUCUGGGAUAAGCGUUGGAAACGACGUCUAAUACCGGAUACGAACCGCGAAGGCAUCUUCUGCGGUUGGAAAGAAUUUCGGUCAAGGAUGGACUCGCGGCCUAUCAGCUUGUUGGUGAGGUAAUGGCUCACCAAGGCGACGACGGGUAGCCGGCCUGAGAGGGUGACCGGCCACACUGGGACUGAGACACGGCCCAGACUCCUACGGGAGGCAGCAGUGGGGAAUAUUGCACAAUGGGCGCAAGCCUGAUGCAGCAACGCCGCGUGAGGGAUGACGGCCUUCGGGUUGUAAACCUCUUUUAGUAGGGAAGAAGCGAAAGUGACGGUACCUGCAGAAAAAGCACCGGCUAACUACGUGCCAGCAGCCGCGGUAAUACGUAGGGUGCAAGCGUUGUCCGGAAUUAUUGGGCGUAAAGAGCUCGUAGGCGGUUUGUCGCGUCUGCUGUGAAAACUGGAGGCUCAACCUCCAGCCUGCAGUGGGUACGGGCAGACUAGAGUGCGGUAGGGGAGAUUGGAAUUCCUGGGGUAGCGGUGGAACGCGCAGAUAUCAGGAGGAACACCGAUGGCGAAGGCAGAUCUCUGGGCCGUAACUGACGCUGAGGAGCGAAAGCGUGGGGAGCGAACAGGAUUAGAUACCCUGGUAGUCCACGCCGUAAACGUUGGGAACUAGAUGUGGGGACCAUUCCACGGUCUCCGUGUCGCAGCUAACGCAUUAAGUUCCCGCCUGGGGAGUACGGCCGCAAGGCUA